UGGGAACGUGCCCAAAGGUACGGAACAACUCCGGGAAACUGGGAGCUAAUACCGUAUGUGCCCGAAAGGGGAAAGAUUCAUCGCCUUUGGAUCGGCCCGCGUCUGAUUAGCUAGUUGGCGGGGUAAUGGCCCACCAAGGCGACGAUCAGUAGCUGGUCUGAGAGGAUGACCAGCCACACUGGAACUGAGACACGGCCCAGACUCCUACGGGAGGCAG
rnacentral:rRNA from 1 species